AAUAGUGGAAUUUCAUCUUUGGUUUUGUGGAUGACAAUCCUUUCAUGAAUACAUCAAGCUCCAGAGUUCAAGCCCGGAGACUUAUCUAGGAACUCAGUGGACA